rnacentral:rRNA from 1 species
UGUUCGGGUUGUCAUGCCAAUGGCACUGCCCGGUAGCUAAAUGCGGAAGAGAUAAGUGCUGAAAGCAUCUAAGCACGAAACUUGCCCCGAGAUGAGUUCUCCCUGAGACUUAGAGUCUCCUGAAGGAACGUUGAAGACGACGACGUUGAUAGGCCGGGUGUGUAAGCGCAGCGAUGCGUUGAGCUAACCGGUACUAAUGAACCGUGAGGCUUAACCUUACAACGCCGAAGCUGUU